AGCAUCAACCCCGACGGGAGACCGUCUAGGUUGGAUCUGGGUGUCUGCCGUCCGCGGCUCGCCUCAAAAGCAUUAGUGGUCUGGCCUUGACUCCGGCGUAUUAGGUUCCGUCGGCCGAGUGGUCAUCCGCUUACAACCCGCCCUCGGGCAAGCUCUUUG
rnacentral:misc_RNA from 1 species